GUCGAACGUGAGGGUGCAGCGAUGUGCCUGAAAGUGGCGAACGGGUGAGUAACACGUAGGUGACCUGCCCUGAAGUGGGGGAUAACCACUGGAAACGGUGGCUAAUACCGCAUGAGCCUUGCUGGGUGGGAAUUUAGCAAGGGAAAGCUUUAGUGCUUCAGGAGGGGCCUGCGUCCGAUUAGCUAGUUGGUGGGGUAAAGGCCUACCAAGGCGAUGAUCGGUAGCUGGUCUGAGAGGAUGAUCAGCCACACGGGAACUGAGAAACGGUCCCGACUCCUACGGGGGGCAGCAGUGAGGAAUAUUGCUCAAUGGGCGAAAGCCUGAAGCAGCAACGCCGCGUGGAGGAAGAAGGUCCUCGGAUUGUAAACUCCUUUUCUUAGGGACGAGGAAGGACGGUACCUGAGGAAUAAGUCACGGCUAACUACGUGCCAGCAGCCGCGGUAAUACGUAGGUGGCGAGCGUUAUCCGGAAUUAUUGGGCGUAAAGCGCAAGCAGGCGGCUUCUUAAGUCUGACGUAAAAUUUCCUGGCUUAACUGGGAGGGGUCGUUGGAGACUGAGGGGCUUGAGGCGAUGAGAGGGACAUGGAAUUCCCGGUGUAGUGGUGGAAUGCGUAGAUAUCGGGAGGAAUACCAGAGGCGAAAGCGGUGUCCUGGCAUUAGCCUGACGCUCAUGUGCGAAAGCGUGGGGAGCGAACGGGAUUAGAUACCCCGGUAGUCCACGCUGUAAACGAUGAAUACUGGGUGUAGGCGGGGUUAGAGCCGUCUGUGCCGAAGCAAACGCGUUAAGUAUUCCGCCUGGGGAGUACGGCCGCAAGGCUAAAACUCAAAGGA
rnacentral:rRNA from 1 species